rnacentral:tRNA from 1 species
AGGGUAGUACUUUAAAAAAAAGGGUUGGAUUGCAGCCAAUUAUUGAAGUUGAUUUUUCCUACCUUU